rfam:Ixodes scapularis strain Wikel colony gcontig_1108378746954, whole genome shotgun sequence.
GCAGUCGUGGCCGAGGGGUUAAGGCGAUGAACUAGAAAUCCAUUGAGGUCUCCCCGCACAGGUUCAAAUCCUGUCGACUGCU